AUAAUUACUUUGAUGGAGAAAAGUAUUAUACGCUGAAUGUUACAAGCGAAUCUAGGAUGGUGCAAGCUAGAGAACACAGUUUAUAAGAAUGGAACUCCUGAGUAUAAAUACCAAAGUGAUCAUAGAGAAGGUGCUUUUGGAUAAAUAACGAUGUUAACGUUAUUUAGACUCUCUAUGAUAAGUAGGGUGGAACCGCGGGUUUAUAUUCUCGUCCCUAUA
rnacentral:ncRNA from 1 species